AUCCUGCAUUGCACAAGGAGACCCCUCACUCAUGAUGGAACCCACUUGUCCCCGGACCCACUCCAGCCCUGGGGAAAGGGUAUCAAGUAGAGCAACCUGAAUCUGACCAAGGAGGCGGGACAGACGUGGUGCUGCUGGGGCGGGGAUUCUAUCCAGGCAGGCUUUCCUAAGGAGGUGACAACUAGACAGAACCUUGCCGGAGGUGGAAGACUGAAAAGCUGGGGACGACCUCUAUAGAUCUGACUUGGGUUUGCAAAACUGCCUUUCUGGAAGGGCAAAAGUCGGGCAGGUGGCCACUGCACUGUCUAGGUGGUGAUGGUUGCCACAAAUGCAGAGGAGUGGGUUGGUCUGAGGGAGGCUGAAAAAGUGGAGCCAACAGGAAGGGAAUGAGGGACGGGAGGGAGGCAGGGGAUACAGGCGCCAGGACUUUUGCCUGUGGUGCCUUGCCUGAGAUGCCCACGGGGCGUCUGAGGGACCGACACCACGUGCAGGCUGUGUGGCACAGAAUUUAGGGGCCCAGUCUUCAGAGAAAUGUGAACGUGGGUGCCAUGGCAUGUACAUGGCACAUGGAGCCCUGGGCCUGCCUGUGAUCAAAGAGGGGUGGGUGUCUGGAGGAAAGGAGCAGGUCUCAGCCAUGCUGUAAGCAGGCCAUCAUCCGAGGCUGGGUGAGGGAGGAGGUGCGGGCGGAGGCAACAGACAAGGAGGAAGCCCCGAAGAAGUUAAACCAGGGAGACUGAGAUAGCAGCAAGGGCUUCCGUAGGUGACAGAAAACGCGUAUGCUGUCAAAGAAAACUCAGACAAAUUAUACUGCAUCAGAGGCAAUCAUUUGUGCUCAGCAAAAACAACCUUGGAGUCAAAAAAUGAAUGACAAACUGAGAAACUCUCCAGAGGCAAAGGGCCAGUUAACAAAAGUAAACGGUGCCCACCAAUCAACAAGAAAAACCAACGACCUGACAAAGGACAGGAAGAGGAAAUGUAACUGAGGCUUAAAUCCCUUAAAAUACGCCCAGUCCCCUCCUAAUAAGAAAACCGCGUCUUAGAGCCGUACUCCAGGAACCUAGGCAUCUGUGUGCAUUGCUGGUGAGCAUAAACAGAAGCCAGGGUGGCAAAAUACAUCAAAAUGACAAAUUUCCCACAAUCUGAUCCAGCAAUUUCACUUCUAGGUACUUCUCUGACAGUUGUGUUUCCCCCGUGGGAAAUGACCUGUGUAGGUGGUUUCUCGGUUCUCACUGAAAAAUGACCCAAAGGAAUGUCAGUAGGAGUCUGGGCGGAUAAACAGGGGUGCCCCUAGUGACCAUACCCAGGCUCUACGCCGCUGUCCAGAGAGGGCGCUGGCUGCCAUGUGUUGAGGUGGGAAGAUGCCCGGAAAAUGUCAGGUGUGGAACAGGUGAAGAUUAAGUAUGGAUUUAUGUUUUAAAGACCGGAAACGAGUAUACGUCUGAAUUUGUGUUUGUUUUUCUAUACACAGAACCCUUCUGGAAGGACACACCGAAAACUGGUGAUGCGAGCUGUUGGGAAGCAGGACUGUGUGACACCAGCAGGGGAGGGGCAUUCCACUGUGUACUCCCUUGUGCCUUUUAAAUUUCCUAACAUGUAGAUGCAUAAAGUCCACAAAGAUGAAGAGAAGAGGAAACAAACAAAACCCCGACAUUUUCUGCUCAGGAAAGCAAGUGGGAAAUGGUAACUGUAGAGCAGACUGGAGAAGGUGAAUAUGAGCUAGCAGUGGAGAAAACUGACAAAAAUCAACUUGUUUUACCCCAGAGGCUGGACAAGCUUAGGAGCUGAAGGUACCAGGUCCCUCGGGCCAUGCAGGUGAAGCGGCAGGGUCCCUGCACAGAGCUGCCCUGGACUACGUCUGCACAGAAUUCUGAGAAGGCUGUGGGCCCUGCUGCAACCCUGAUCCUGGAGCCCUUCUCCCAUCCUGGCAAAAGGCUGGGUUGAGGGUGGGAAGCUGCACUGAGGAAGUCGUGGGAGUAAGGGAGGUCACACUGGGUGCUAAGAUGCCAGCCUCUCUCCUGGGAUGCUGAAAAGAGGCUCGAAGUGCCUUCUGGGAACACUCAGAGGAAGGAACUGAAGAUAAUCCCAGCAAGGCUGACUCAAGGCAGCCCAGCCAGACUGCCCAAUGAAUCCUCCAGUAGCAUCCACUCAUGCACCCCCACCCUCUCAUGUCCCCUAAGAGGUAGGUCUCCCCCAUGUCCCUCCCUGCCCUGGUUAGUUGUCCUGGCCACUAUGGCCCUCCUCCACCUGCUCAGAGCUGCCAAAUUUGUGGUCCCCUGUCUUACACAUAAGCAGACAACUUGGAGGAGUCAGAGACCAUACUGGGAGAAGAAAACUUAAAAAACAAGUUAUUGUCAUCCUCAGAAAAAUAAGGAAAGACGUUACAGCUAUAAGUAACAACAGAAGGUCGUUAUAAAAAUGAACAUUCAGGGAAUAAAAACACUCCUGGAAAGGAAAACUAUCAUAGUAGGUAAGAAAAUCUCAAAUGAAUGUCUGGAAGAUGUAACUGAAGAAAUUUUCUGGAAAACAGAGCAGAAAGUAAGGGAUGGGGUAUCACAACAAAGAGAACAUUUGAAGACCUGUCCAAGAGGCCAAUAACCAAGUAACAGGCAUUCCAGAAAUAAGAGAAUGAAACAACAGAGGAGAAGGAAAUCAAACAAUUCAAGCCCAUUUCCCACAACUGAAAAAUGGAAUUUCAGACUGAAAGGGCUCACCAACAGUGGUGAUAAAAAAAGGUUUGAGACUGAGUUAAUAAUAAAAAAAAAAAUGCUUCAUCCAGCCAAAAUUCAA